rnacentral:rRNA from 1 species
GAUGAACGCUGGCGGCGUGCCUAAUACAUGCAAGUCGAGCGGACAUUCUAAAAGCUUGCUUUUAAAAGGUUAGCGGCGGACGGGUGAGUAACACGUGGGCAACCUGCCUAUAAGACUGGGAUAACGCCGGGAAACCGGGGCUAAUACCGGAUAGUUUUUCCACCCCCUGGGGGCAACAGAGAAAGCCGCUUCGGCUGCCACUUACAGAUGGGCCCGCGGCGCAUUAGCUAGUUGGCAGGGUAACGGCCUACCAAGGCAACGAUGCGUAGCCGACCUGAGGGGGUGAUCGCCCACCCGGGACCUGGACCACGCCCCAGCCUCCUCCGGGGGGCGCCGGAAGGGAAUCUUCGGCAAGGGGGGAAGGCUUGACGGAGAACGGCGGCGGGAGUGAUGAGGCUCUCGGGUUCGUAAAACCCUGUUAUUGGGAAGAAACAACGGUGUACGAAACUGUGCGCGUCUUGACGGUACCCAGUCAGAAAGCCACGGCUAACUACGUG